rnacentral:rRNA from 9 species
AGAAACAUGGAAACCAAAAACAGUCUUAGAAAAAUAGAAAGCACAAAAUUCUUUAUUGGGGAUUUCACAAAACAACUGAAUGGAGUCAGCCUUACUCGCUUUUGCAGAGCGAACAACUUCCCGAGUGAAAUUCAGUCUAGUUAUACCAGGGU